rnacentral:rRNA from 1 species
UACCUGCAGCCCGAGUGGUGGCCGUUAUUAUUGGGCCUAAAACGUCCGUAGCCUGCUCAGUAGAUGCCUGUGUAAAUCGAACGGCUCAACCGUUCGAACUGCGGGUAGACCGCUGGGCUUGGGACCGGGAGAGUCACGAAGUACUCCGGGGGUAGAGGUGAAAUUCUGUAAUCCUCGGGGGACUACCGGUGGCGAAGGCGUCGUGAUAGAACGGCUCCGACGGUGAGGGACGAAGCCCUGGGGCGCAAACCGG